AGCCGAAGUUUCUAAUUGACAAAUCAAGCAAAUCUUGGAGAAGACGAUUGGACCAACUCGAAAGGAUUGGAGCUUAUGUUUGACUGAUGCAUUGUGGGCAUAUCGUACUGCUUACAAAACACCAAUUGGUGAAGGGAAAUAAUGAGAUUCAUGUGGGAUUUCUAGUGACUAGCAUGCAUAUACAAUUCAAAAUUCAUAUACAUACGCAACGGAAGCAUGUUAUCAAAUAAUAUCAAAGCUAUAGUCAUGCAAAUCCCCUUCAAGAAGCAUAGGUUUAUAUAAGAUGCAUCAAAACAUUUUAUUGAAGAACAAAGUGUAGGAGUAGAUUUAUACCUCUUGAUCUAGACUUGAGACCAAGGAUAGACCACCUCCAAGCCCUUUGCUCUUGGAACUCCUUGAGCCUAGCCUCCCUCCUUGCUUCCUCGACCUUGCUAGAAUGAGUGCUCCUUAGUUCUCCUUUAGUCUCCAAGAUUGAAGACUUCUAAAGAUCCACACCCACUAGUGUAGUGAGAUGGAUGGAGGAAUAACCA
rnacentral:lncRNA from 1 species